rfam:Dietzia timorensis strain ID05-A0528, complete genome.
GUCCGGACCUCGCGUGGCGUCCACCCUGUGAAUUCCCCCAGGACCGGAAGGUAGCAAGGGUCAACGGGCUCUGGCGGGUGCGCGGGGUCCCUUAAUU